ensembl:lncRNA
CUCAUAUCCAUUUAGUCUCUGUGGCUUCAUUUUCCCAUCUUCAACUGAUAGAUAAUAAUGCCAGUGGUCGGUAUCUUCCCUUCGUGUCACUCUGGUGCCCAGUUCCCUUCCCAGUGAGAUGGACAAAAUGGUGCUCUGCAGGUCAUGGGCUUAGGCCAGUGAUCUUCACACGCUGAGUCACUCACCCUUGUGAGAUACAAAUCAUGGAUUCCAGGGUGCACCGGCUUCAGAAGUUGUGAUACCUGGGGUCAGUAGUUGUGGAUCCUGGACUCUAGAGCACAGGCUUGAUAACUGUGAGGCUUAGUUGCUCCGCGACAUGUGGGAUCUUCCUGGAUUGGGCAUCAAACCUGCAUCUCCUGCAUUGCCAGGCGGAUUCUUUACCACUGAGCCACCAGGGAAGCCUGACCUGCUUUCGUCUUAAAAGAAGUUCGUCAGGAACCCUCCCUCUGCAACCUGCUCCCACCCCUUUCCCAGCCAAAGACGUUCUUAGAAGGAAAAAUGAUAUAGUUCUGAAACUUUAGGUUUCAUAAAGAAAGGAAGAGCAUUAGAGAAGGAAUAAAUAAUAGUAAUAUGUCUUUUUUUAAAAUUUCAGUUGAUCCAACAGAUAGUAGUUUGCUCAAAAUACUAGUAGAACCAAGGUAUUUGGUGCUUGUAGGUCAUGCACAGUGAAAUGAAUGACAGUGAUGCUAUCAGAGAUGAGAGGGAGGGCUUGGGGAUACCCUGUUAUAAAGUGCUUGCGUUACCCAUGAGAUUGUAUAGUUGUAUCUGAAAAGGACUUGGAUGAAUAAAUGUAUAGGAC